rnacentral:rRNA from 1 species
CCUACGGGUGGCAGCAGUGAGGAAUAUUGGUCAAUGGGCGCGAGCCUGAACCAGCCAAGUAGCGUGAAGGAUGACUGCCCUAUGGGUUGUAAACUUCUUUUAUAUGGGAAUAAAACGUUCCACGUGUGGGAUUUUGUAUGUACCAUAUGAAUAAGGAUCGGCUAACGCCGUGCCAGCAGGCGCGGUAAUACGGAGGAUCCGAGCGUUAUCCGGAUUUAUUGGGUUUAAAGGGAGCGUAGGUGGGUUGUUAAGCAAGUUGGGAAAGUUUUGGGCUCAACCGUAAGAUUGCAGUUGAAACUGGCAGUCUUGAGUACAGUAGAGGCGAGCGGAAUUCGGGGUGUAGCGGUGAAAUGCUUAGAUAUCACGAAGAACUCCGAUUGCGAAGGCAGUUCACUGGACUGCAACUGACACUGAGGCUCGAAAGUGUGGGUAUCAAACAGGAUUAGAUACCCGUGUAGUC